rnacentral:rRNA from 1 species
UGGGAAAUUUUGGACAAUGGGCGAAAGCCUGAUCCAGCAAUGCCGCGUGUGUGAAGAAGGCCUUCGGGUUGUAAAGCACUUUUGUCCGGAAAGAAAUCCUUGGCUCUAAUACAGUCGGGGGAUGACGGUACCGGAAGAAUAAGCACCGGCUAACUACGUGCCAGCAGCCGCGGUAAUACGUAGGGUGCAAGCGUUAAUCGGAAUUACUGGGCGUAAAGCGUGCGCAGGCGGUUUGCUAAGACCGAUGUGAAAUCCCCGGGCUCAACCUGGGAACUGCAUUGGUGACUGGCAGGCUAGAGUAUGGCAGAGGGGGGUAGAAUCCCACGUGUAGCAGUGAAAUGCGUAGAGAUGUGGAGGAAUACCGAUGGCGAAGGCAGCCCCCUGGGCCAAUACUGACGCUCAUGCACGAAAGCGUGGGGAGCAAACAGGAUUAGAUACCCUGGUAGUCCACGCCCUAAACGAUGUCAACUAGUUGUUGGGGAUUCAUUUCCUUAGUAACGUAGCUAACGCGUGAAGUUGACCGCCUGGGGAGUACGGUCGCAAGAUUAAAACUCAAAGGAAUUGACGGGGUCAUAGCUGUUUCCU